rnacentral:rRNA from 1 species
CAGCAGCCGCGGUAAUACCGGCGGCCCGAGUGGCGGUCACUAUUAUUUGGCUUAAAGCGUCCGUAGCCGGGUUGGGAAGUCCUCCGGGAAAUCUGGCCGCUUAACGGUCCGAAUGCCGGAGGAUACUCCCAGCCUAGGGAGCGGGAGAGGCCGAGGGUAUUCCCGGAGGAGGGGUGAAAUCCUAUAAUCCCGGGAGGACCACCUGUGGCGAAGGCGCUCGGCUGGAACGCGUCCGACGGUGAGGGACGAAGGCCAGGGGAGCAAACCGGAUUAGAUACCCGGGUAGUCCUGGCUGUAAACGAUGCGGACUUUGUGUCGGACAAGCUAUGAGCUUGUCCGGUGCCGGAGGGAAGCCGUUAAGUCCGCCGCCUGGGGAGUACGGCCGCAAGGCUGAAACUUAAAGGAAUUGGCGGG